GAGCCGGAGAGUGUGGGGGUCCGCCUGCCUCCCGAGCGCGCCCGACCCCUCCCGCCUUCGGGCUCUCUGGGCUUUGUAGACCGCGGCGUGGGGUAGUUCUUGGCGUUUCCAGCGGGGGUGGUGAGCUGAGUUGAGAAACGGGAACCCCAGCCCUGGAACAAAGCCCGGGCUCCCGGCACCCUGUCCCACUUGCCGGGCGGGGAGGGCUCAGGCCGCCACCCGGCUCUUAGAUCGCGGCGCCGCGCGGCUCGACUCCCGGGCUCUUUGCGGCGGAGGCUCCGGCUACGCGCAAGGAAUGCGGGAGCCCGGGCGCCUUCUGGUGGGCGCCGAGGACAUUGCGGGGGCGCCAAGCCGCUCCCGGAGAGGGUCCUUCCCCCUACCCACCCAGCCGUUUGCCUCCGAAUCCUCGCAUCGCAACCGCCAGCCCGAAUCCAGUCACUCUAUUUCCUGUUCGUUCGGAGCCUCGGUCUCAGAGAGACUGCAGGCAAGGUCACUCCAAGCACGCAGCUCUUAAGGGACAGAGCCCAGCCAGAGGUCACAACAUCGUAGAGACACCUGUCAUGAAGCAGAACAUCCAGUGAAUUCUCCAAAGGAGCUGGUUCCUGGCAGCUGCUAUUUUUUGUCCCUGUGGUUUGUUUCAGCCGCAAGCAAUCAUGUUUCCAUUUCCAGUUCAAGGAGAUGCCCAUUUUGUUUUUUUGUUUUUAACAUGGGUUGUCUUUUUAAUACAUAUUUGGAAUAUACUACCUGUCAUUUUAUUUAUUUGGAGCAAAGAGAGGAUUUUCUCUUGAAUUCACUCAAUCCUUUUGAUAGGAAGUAACCCUAUAAACUUUGUCUACUUGUAAAUUUUCUUUUACAGAAAGGGGAGUUUACUGUACUCAUUGAACCACACGCUGCUUUUUUCUUCACAUGACAUAUAUCUUGGAGGUCUUUUUAUAAAAGCAUGUAAAACUGUGUCUCAUCCAAGAAAUUUGACUGCAUAUUAUUUAUUGCAUUAUAUAAAUAUAUCAUAAAUUUAAACAGUCCUGAUUGAUUGACAUCUUGUUUCCUUUACAAACAGUGCUGCAAUAAACAUGUUUGGUGAACUCUUGUGAACA
rnacentral:lncRNA from 1 species